rnacentral:rRNA from 1 species
GAAAAGAACCCCGGAAGGGGAGUGAAAUAGAACCUGAAACCGUGGACCUACAAGCGGUCAGAGCAGACUUGAUCUGUGAUGGCGUGCCUUUUGUAGAAUGGGCCUGCGAGUUACGUUGUGAAGCAAGGUUAAUGUAUUGAAGUACAGGAGCCGGAGGGAAACCGAGUCUGAAUAGGGCGCUUAGUUUCAUGACGUAGACGCGAAGCCGGGUGAUCUACUUAUGGCCAGGUUGAAGCUACGGUAAAACGUAGUGGAGGACCGAACCCUAGUCUGUUAAAAAAGGCAGGGAUGAGCUGUGAGUUGGAGUGAAAGGCUAAACAAACCCGGAGAUAGCUCGUUUUCACCGAAAUAGCUUUAGGGCUAGCCUCAUAAUAGUGUGCCGGAGGUAAAGCACUGGUUGGACUAGGGCCUGUCACAGGGUACCAAAUCCAAAUAAACUCUGAAUGCCGGUAUAUGUUUUAUGGGAGUCAGACUUAGGGAGAUAAGUUCCUAGGUCAAGAGGGAAACAGCCCAGACCGUUAGCUAAGGUCCCUAAAUAAUACUAAGUGGGAAAGGAAGUGUAGUGGCGAAGACAGCCAGGAGGUUGGCUUAGAAGCAGCCAUUCCUUUAAAGAGUGCGUAAUAGCUCACUGGUCGAGUCACUAUGCGCCGACAAUGUAACGGGGCUAAGUAUUAUACCGAAGCUACGGAAUCAGUAAUGAUUGGUAGGUGAACGUUCUCGAGGGCGCUGAAGGUGUGCUGUAAGGCAUGCUGGAGCUAAGAGAAGUGAGAAUGCAGGCAUGAGUAACGAAAAGACGGGUGAGAUCCCUGUCCGCCGAAAACCCAAGGUUUCCUAAGUAAAGGUCGUCUUCUUAGGGUUAGUCGGCUCCUAAGGCGAGGCAGAAAUGCGUAGUCGAUGG